rnacentral:lncRNA from 1 species
GAUAAUAUUAUGUUUCAACAGAAACAUAACAAGCUAAAAGCGGAGAACUACCUCGUGAUGGAUGUGGUAUGUAAUUAGCUAGCGGCUCAUCUUGCCGCUAAGCAUAUUAUAUAAUUUUUUAAAUUUUAAUAUUUUUCUUUGGAAAUUAAUUACCGACUAACCAUGCCCGUUUUUUUCACUUUUUUCUUCUAUCAAAUUAGAAUCGUUGGGUUGAAAUUUUUACCGGAUUGGCUAACAAUGGCGAAGCCAUUGAUAUGUGGUAUCUAACAGUGCCGCUCAACACCAGCGAGGAGGGAUUGAGUUCAAGCCCAUGAAUGUUAGCAUGAGGCUAUCUUCUGGUUGUGCCAUUUGGGACUUCGAGUAAUGGUUGCUGUAAGAUGAUUAAAUACCUAGUCAAUAAGAUUAAU